UACGAAGGGGGCUAGCGUUGCUCGGAAUCACUGGGCGUAAAGCGCACGUAGGCGGCUUGUUAAGUCAGGGGUGAAAUCCUGGAGCUCAACUCCAGAACUGCCUUUGAUACUGGCGAGCUUGAGUUCGGGAGAGGUGAGUGGAACUGCGAGUGUAGAGGUGAAAUUCGUAGAUAUUCGCAAGAACACCAGUGGCGAAGGCGGCUCACUGGCCCGAUACUGACGCUGAGGUGCGAAAGCGUGGGGAGCGAACGAGG
rnacentral:rRNA from 1 species